rnacentral:misc_RNA from 1 species
UCUCCGCUUGCGCGGGCAGUCUUUUUAGAGUCCCCAGCUUAACCUGUUGGCAACUAAAAAUAGGGGUUGCGCUCGUUGCGGGACUUAACCUAACAUCUCACGACACGAGCUGACGACGGCCAUGCAUCACCUGUCACUUGGUUCCCGAAGGCACACUCUGCUUUCGCAGUGAUUCCAAGGAUGUCAAGCCUGGGUAAGGUUCUUCGCUUACCAUCGAAUUAAACAACACGCUCCACCGCUUGUGCGGGUCCCCGUCAAUUCCUUUAUGUUUUAGUCUUGCGACCGUACUCCACAGGUGGGAUGCUUAACGCGUUAGCUUCGCUACUAGAAGGGUCGAUACUCCUAACAGCUAGCAUCCAUAGUUUACAGCGUGGACUAC